rnacentral:tRNA from 3 species
GCCCAGGUGGUGGAAUCGGUAUACACACUAGGUUGAGGGCCUAGGCUCCUUUGGGGCGUGCGGGUUCAAGUCCCGCUCUGGGCACCA